rnacentral:lncRNA from 1 species
UAAUAACCAAAACAGGUCAAUCCUAAUACGACCAACAUCUAAAUUUAGCUACUCACUUAUUUGAAUCAUUCAUAAAAAAUUGUAAUUUUGUCAUUUAUAAUUAUUUAUAAAAUUUAUGUUUCUAUAUUAAUUAUUAGAAACCAAAUAACUCUUUUACCAUAUUUUGGGUACCCAAACUUAGUAGAAAAUAAAACCUUUUGCCAAAGUAGUCGAAUUUUAUCUAUCUGGUUUGGUUUUCCACUAUCAUUGAAUAAUGUAUACCCUCAGUUUAGAGGAUAUUGAACAUAUUUUGAAGAAAUAUGAAGUACAAAUAGCAACUCGAAAUUCCCUAACCCACCUCAUAAUGUGGAAAGAAGUGAGGUUGAAACUCCCUAUGCUUACAGCAUGUAACAAACCAAUCAAGAGAUUUAUGAAGCUAUCUUGCUUAUAGCAAAUCAUUAGGAAUAAACUUUUGGAGAACUUUGGACCAAACCAAAGCCCUUACUUUGCUUACUCGAAUUGGUACUCUAGCUGUUGAGAUUCAAGUUUUCUCAAUGAAAAGAGUGGUCGUGAGAAGGACAAAUAAAAUGAAAUAUAAGAUUUUUAAGAAAGUUUUUAAUAAGAUCUAGAAGCAAAACCCAUGUACUUAUCCUAGGAAGGAAAUGAAUGAAAUUCACUGGGUUAAGCAAUGAAAAUAGUUCAAUCAUCUCCUUGUCAUGAUAUUGUUGUAGAAACAACAUUUCCAGAUGAAGGUAUUAUUAUGAUUAAUAAAGAAUAGAAUAAAGGUAGAUUUGCCUCUUGAACUUGGAAGCAAAAUCCAAUUAGAUCCAAAUUGAAGUUUUCAGCAAAUUAAGUCCACAAUUAGACUGAAAAUGCCAUGGGCUGACUUUUCUUUCCUGCUGGAAUCGUCAACAAACAUGGAUGUCUGUGGUUGGAUUGGUUGCUUUCUGGAUUUGAGGUGCUGGUUUGAUGAUGAUGGCUUGCUGUUUCGGGCUUCUGUUGUUUCUAUUCUCGUGGGUUCCUGUUCAUGGCCUCUAUCAUUCUUUCCUGGCUGUGAGGUGGGUCUGUUGGUGUUCUUUCCCGCAUGGUUGUUGUGGUUGUGGUCCAAGGAAGUGCCAGUGAUGCAUGCAUUGCGUUGUGAUCAGUGGCGGUGCGGGUGUGUGCAUCAUGAAGCUUUCCAGCCCUCCCUUGAGGGAUCACGCCUGGGUUCUGGGUUGGAGUGUGUUGGUUUGGGUUGGAUUCGAGUUGGUUCUUCCUGGGUUGGGUUUUGUGUUCUUUAAGCUGUGGGCCUGGUCUGUGAUAUGUGUGCUUGUGCCUUGUGUUGUAGAGCCUGUUUGGCAUUUUAAUGCAAUCCCGAUUGCAUGGUAAAAAAAAAGUCCAUAACUUUUAUUUGUGACCCAAUUUCAGCACAAAAAAAAAAAAAAGAAAAAAGUGAAAAAAAUAUAUAUUUUUUUAAUCUAGCAAAAAAAUAUUUUUAAUUUUAAAGUAAGAAUUAUUUUAUAUGAUUUUAAAAACUUAAAAAUUAAAAGUAAGAAAAUCACCAUGACAAAUAUACAGAUUCCGAAUCCCUUUUUUUGUGUUGUUUAAGAAAUUUUGUAAAGUUCAUUGUAAUUUCUAAAAUAAAAUAUUUAUUCAGAGAAAUUUUGUAAUUCUUUUUGGGCUGAAAAUUGGGUCUUUUGACACUGAAUCAAGAGAUACUGACUUAUUUGAACAAAAACUUCGAUUUGGGUCUAAUUAAACUCCCCUUAAAAGUUUAGGGGGGAAACUGACCUUUAUUCUGAUAAAAAAAAUUUGAGAAAGGAGAAUUGUGCAAUUCUAGAAAGGCAAGGGAAGCUAAGGGAAUAACAUUCAUGACCAUAUUGAACAUCUUUCCAAAAACAAAUACGUGUGCCAACACCAACCUUAUUGAUGUAGUACAAGAAGAAUAAAGAGAAAUAUAUUCUCAAAAUUACUGUUAGAUCUCAAUAAUAAUCGUGAUAAUUAAAGCUAAAUAAAAUACUUAGAAUAUGUAGGUAUUUAUUGUAAAAUAACUAGUCCUAUAACUAGGGCUGAGCAGAAUUCGGUUUAAACCGAAAUAACCGACCGAACCGAACCGAUUUGAAAUUUUGGUUCGGUUUUAUUUUUUUUUCGGUUCGGUUCGGUUUGAAAUUUUAAAAAAAUCGGUAAUUUCGGUUCGGUUCGGUUUUAGACGUAAAAAUUUCGAUUAGACCGAACCGAACCGAAAUCACUUAUACUACGUUCGUUUGAGUAGUUUCCUAAUUCCCUAUUUCCCUUCCCUUCCCUUCCUUUGCCUAAAUUUAAAACAAAUUUCUCUCUCCGUGCGUGCAUCUCUAUCUCUGUGCUCACCCACCCCUAAACCUAACGCCCUCACCUCUCAACGUGCCUCGCCUCUGAGUUCCAUCCAAGUUCCAGCGGCGGUUCCACCAUCCACCGUCCACCGUCCACCGUCCAGCCUCCGGUCUCUUUCUGAGUAGUAGAGCCACGCACGCAUCUCGUCGCGAGAUUCUCGCGCAUGUGAUGUGCCUCCACUCUCCUCUCGACUGGACUGAUUCACCAUCGUCGAUCUUCACCGAUCUUUAGUCUCUCUUUCCACGCAAUCAUCGGCGUCGGCCGUUGCUCUCUAUUGGCUCUCCACGCAUCAUCGGGCAGUCGGCAAUUUGGUCGUGCUUAUUCCACAGCCCUCAGUCCUCUCCGAGUCUCUGUGUCGCGCUUCCAGCCUUGAGCCUUUCACAGUUCGUGGACCAGACUCCGGGACCAAGAGUGCCACUCGCGCCUCCAGCCCUCGGUUGUGUCGGACAUGGUUGCCUGCCAGUGCCACGGCGUGCUGUUGAACUUGAGUCAACCGUAGAAGCUAAGUAAAUAUUUGUGAUUUGCUGUUGAUUGUUGAAUUUAUGUACUCUUGGUUGAAUUUGUGUACUAUUGAUUGUUGAAUUUGUGUUAUUGAUUGUUCAAGUGUGUGCUCUGCUCUUGAUUGUUGAUGUAAACUCAUGGCCGUGAAGUAUUCUGUUCUAGAUUAUGUUAACUGUUAUUAUUUUUUUUUUAAAAUCGGUUCAAUCGAUUGAACCGACCGAACCGAACCGAACCGAAUCAAAUCGGUUCGAUUCGGUUAUCCCUCUUAUUCGGUUCGGUUCGGUUUAUGUAAAAUACUGCAAUUCGGUUUUCGGUUAUUUCGGUUCGGUUCGGUUUUGAACCGAACCGACCGAAUGCUCAGCCCUACCUAUAACUACUAGGACUAGGAAUCCCCAUAACAACUAAAUUUCCCAAAUAAAAAUAAAUACUGAUUUCUAAGUAGAAUUCCUAAUAAAUAAUGGAAUACCAUUAACAUUUCCUAAAUAAUAAAAAUACAAUCUUCCUAAUUUUACAAUUAAAAUUAUGUCAACAUCAUGCCUAAAUAUAAUUUGAAUCUUCCUUCACUGCAUCAUUUGUAUUUAUAGAAGGUAGAAAGGAACCUAACAUGUGAAUACACAAGCUCAUAUGGUAGCAUUUACUGUGGUAAAAUCAUCCUUACUCAUUCUGCUAUAGACCGUACUUCCUCUUGAUAACCUGAUACCAAAUGCCAUUAGCCUGUAGAGGAAAGUGCUUUAACCACUGACCUAGGAUAGCAACAUUUUCAAACAUCAAAGGAGGAAAAACACUAACUGCAUUCCUCACUAUGAAGGACAAAGUUAUAAUGUCUAUUUAUCAAGUUGCUAGAGUUUUUCUUUGACAAGCAAGUAUAUGAGAAACUCAAUUACAAAAAUAUCCGCUAUACUUAGUGCCCCUAGUAGUUUUAGCAGCAUUCUUCUUUUCAUAUUGCUUGGCAUUAGUAAAUUUACUGCUAUUAAAAGCAUACUAUAAAUAUUUCUCAAGUUCCUGUUUUCUAAACAAAUUUGUUAAUUAUAUUUUAAUAGGUAAUUAAAUGAUUGCUAACUUGAAAAAAAAUAGCGGAUAAUGUUUUUAAAAAUCUGUUUGAAAAUUUGAAUUAAAAUUCUAUUGCUGUCUAGCCAUACCUAUGAUUUUAAAAUAAAUUCUUUCAAUGAAUUAAACAAUUACUCAUGUAGUGCAAAAUUACUAGUGUAUAUAAAAUAUCGGGGCUAAAUAUUUCUAUUUAUUAACUCUUUUUGGAGUGGCUAAUGGAAGGAUAAAAUUGUAGAUGCUUUCAAAUAUGGCUAUUUGAUAUGAUCUUACACAAGUAUGACUGAUCGCGUUAGCCCAGAGCUCAGGGAUAUUUUGUAAUUUUUCCUAUGCAUGCUGGGAAACCACUGAUUCCAACCCUUGAACGUGUUCCUGUAGUUUGUAGUUAUACUCAAGUCUGAAGCAGUAAAGGAAACAAUGUUAUACAGUUGGCUGCUUGCUCAAUUGUCUGAUCAUUAUUUGUUCUUGAGUUGGUUGGAUAUGCUGGUUUUUUUUUUUUCGAAUCUCAUUUUUAAUAAGCACAUAAACCUUAAGCAUACAGGUGAUAUGUGCUGAAAUUCUUGGUCAUGAAAAGCUCAUUUAAUGAAACUCUGCCUAAUGCAAUUUCCAGUUUUAUCUUUUCGUUUUGCCUCCCAGCGUGCACAGUAUUUUGACCUAGAUUAAAUUCUUCCCAGAUUGAAGACAAUAUCCUAUUACAGUUUCUCUUUAUAUAUAUAUAUAUAAAAGACAACAUUGGAGCCCAAUUCUCCAGUAAAGCUUCAAUCCCAAAGUACCCCUAACAACUGAAAUCAUAAAGCAGUUGGCUUGCAGCUAAGCAUGUAGAAGAAUAAUGGCAUCUUAAGUGAGACAGGAAGAGAGUACGGGGUAAUCAGAUCCAGAGUCUAGAUUCUGGAAUCAGCUUGGAGGGUGUAAUCACAUUUUUCAUGCAUUUCGCAAAACCAAAUACUCAUGAUUCCAUUGGCGAAAGUCUAUGUUGAAAAUCAAUUGCAAAGAUAUGUCUGAUCUUUAUUUUUUUUUAACGAG